UACGUAGGGGGCAAGCGUUGUCCGGAAUCAUUGGGCGUAAAGAGCGUGUAGGCGGCCCGGUAAGUCCGCUGUGAAAGUCCAGGGCUCAACCCUGGGAUGCCGGUGGAUACUGUCGGGCUCGAGUCCGGAAGAGGAGUGUGGAAUUCCUGGUGUAGCGGUGAAAUGCGUAGAUAUCAGGAGGAACACCGGUGGCGAAGGCGGGUCUCUGGGCAGUAACUGACGCUGAGGAGCGAAAGCGUGGGGAGCGAACAGG
rnacentral:rRNA from 1 species